rnacentral:lncRNA from 1 species
AAUUCAAAGACAAAAAAAUAGAUGCUUCCAAAACUCUAAGAAACUAAAACUUAAAAUUCAAAGUGGAAAGGUGUUGCACAAUUUAUCUAAACAUGGACUAAUUGUAAAUAACAUCAGGGUAGAUGGUAUCAUGUGACCCAACCAUCGGAGCACCCCCUCUGAUCUUCACACCUUCACGGAGCCUGCGAGCUUCCACAAACCUAUUCCAACGCCGUCCUAUCUUGAAGUGUUCAUAAGGAAAAGUUGCAAAAGUUAGCUCACACACCCAUAAGUUACAGCAAUCGUCGAUAAUAUUCACAGUUGUCUUGUCUGUAUCAAGCAUCUGCGGAACAUUGCCGGUGUAAAGUAGAAUCUGCAAAAUUAAAAAUCCAAGUAACUUAUAUCAACUAAACGGAAAAGGAAUAAAAGAAGUUAAGGUGGACACGAAAAGUGUAUCAUACCAUGCAACCUUUAGUAACAUCAUACUCAGUUAAUUUUUUUUCGAAAUCAAGAACCAUGUCAGUGAUAUUGUGACGAUAAGCGAGAAGAGAUGUUAUUGGGGGGAGAUAGUCAUCGAAAGUUGCUUGCAAAUUCA